rnacentral:pre_miRNA from 1 species
GAUUUCAACUGAAAAAGUCAUCAAAAACAAAGUGGUAUAACUCAUCAAGUUUUGUAACUUUUAUUUUGGUCAUUUUCUCAUUCGAUAAAGUGAUUUUUAACAUUGUUUACAGAAUGUACAUAUCUCUUAUACAGUUUUAUAAACUAUAAGAGAGAUAUGUAAAUAUUAUGAAAAUGUUACCAUCACUUUAUCGGAUGAAGAAAUAACCAAAAUAAAAGUUACCAGUCUUGAUGAGUUAUACAACUUUGUUCAUGAUGACUUUUUCCGCUGAAAUC